UACGGAGGGUGCAAGCGUUAUCCGGAUUCACUGGGUUUAAAGGGUGCGUAGGAGGGCAGGUAAGUCAGUGGUGAAAUCCCCAAGCUUAACUUGGGAACUGCCGUUGAUACUAUCUGUCUUGAAUACCGUGGAGGUGAGCGGAAUAUGUCAUGUAGCGGUGAAAUGCUUAGAUAUGACAUAGAACACCAAUUGCGAAGGCAGCUCGCUACACGAAUAUUGACUCUGAGGCACGAAAGCUAGGGGAGCAAACGGG
rnacentral:rRNA from 1 species